rnacentral:lncRNA from 7 species
GUGUGAUUUUCAGUUAAAUCGCGGAUUCUCAAUGAGAAAAUGGCCUGAUGUUUGCAUUAAAUGUGUGAUUUUCGUAGAGAUAAUGCGUGUAUUUUCAGGUUACAUGGGAGAUUUUUGAAGAGAAAAUGUUGUGAUUUCGGGAUGAAUCAGGGAUCUUGAAGAGAAAAUGCAUCAUUUUCGGGUUCAAUGGGGGAUUCUCGAAGAGAAAUUGCAUUUUCUACUGGUUAAAUGGGGGAUUUUUGAAGAGGAAAUGCUUCGUUUCAGGUUAAAUUGGGGGUUUUCGAAGCCAAAAUGUGCGAUUUUCACUUAAAUGGGGGAUUUUCCAAACGAAAAUGCAUGAUUUUCUUUUUAGAUGGGGGAUUUUCAUAGAGAAAAGGCAUGAUUUUUGUGUUAAGUGGGGGAUAUUUGCAAAGAAAAGGCGUGAUUUUUCGGGUUAAAUAGGGGAUUUUUCAAGAGAAAAUGUGUGAUUUUCAGUUAAAUCGCGGAUUCUCAAUGAGAAAAUGCCUGAUGUUUGCAUUAAAUGUGUGAUUUCGUAGAGAUAAUGCGUGAUUUUCAGGUUACAUGGGAGAUUUUUGAAGAGAAAA